CACGCAGGCGGUCAUACAAGUCAGCUGUUAAAUGCAUGGGCUUAACCGAUGCAUGCGGUUGAAACUGUAUGGCUAGAGUACUGGAGAGGUAAGCGGAAUUCCCGGUGUAGUGGUGAAAUGCGUAGAUAUCGGGAAGAACACCAGUGGCGAAGGCGGCUUACUGGCCAGUAACUGACGCUGAGGUGCGAAAGCCAGGGGAGCGAACC
rnacentral:rRNA from 1 species